rnacentral:rRNA from 1 species
AUUGAACGCUGGCGGAAUGCUUUACACAUGCAAGUCGAACGGCAGCACGGGGGCAGCCCUGGUGGCGCGUGGCGAACGGGUGAGUAAUACAUCGGAACGUGCCCGGCCGUGGGGGAUAACGUAGCGAAAGUUACGCUAAUACAGCAUACGAUCUGAGGAUGAAAGCGGGGGACCUUCAGGCCUCGAGGGAUCGGCGCGGCCGAUGUCAGAUUAGGUAGUUGGUGGGGUAAAGGCCUACCAAGCCGACGAUCUGUAGCUGGUCUGAGAGGACGACCAGCCACACUGGGACUGAGACACGGCCCAGACUCCUACGGGAGGCAGCAGUGGGGAAUUUUGGACAAUGGGCGCAAGCCUGAUCCAGCCAUUCCGCGUGCAGGACGAAGGCCUUCGGGUUGUAAACUGCUUUUGUACGGAACGAAAAGGCUCUGGCUAAUACCUGGGGCUCAUGACGGUACCGUAAGAAUAAGCACCGGCUAACUACGUG